UGAUGUCCUACAGCUCUGAGUCCUCUGCCAUUAUAAAAAAAAUGCAUACGAGUCUUCCACCAGCCAUAAUAAUGAUCAUUGAAUCUAAGGGGUCUAUAGGUUGAUUGUCCUUCUUCAAAGUUAGGUGGAGCAGCUAUUGAGAUCCUUUCUAGGUGUUAACCUUUUAGAAAGAACCUGUUCUAACACCAUUUGAUAGCUUAUGAGUCCACCAACUGUAUAGAGACAUGGUCCUAUAUCAGUUCCCUCAGUACUAACUACUAAAACAGUAGUAAAAAGAUAUAGGAUUUUUACGUGGAAAGAUCCCAACUCAAGCGGAUAAAAAUCACGACCUACACUGGUAGGAUUUUAACUUCACUAACUUGUAUCUACACUAUUACAAGUCACUUUGUAAUGACUCUAUUACAAAGAAUUUAAUUACUUUAACUUGUAACACGCUUAUCACAAGCCAAUUUGUCACUCACUAGUUACAAAUACU
rnacentral:lncRNA from 1 species